rnacentral:ncRNA from 1 species
GUAAAUCAUCAGGAGCUUCCAGAAAAUACCGGAACACCAACCGAGAGACCAAAAUCCACGGUGGUAAAGUAUGAGGGCAUCCGCCAAAAUAUAAGGUUAUA